rnacentral:tRNA from 1 species
GCAUCCUGCUGGGCCUGGCGCAGAGCCUGGGGGCGCUGGUGUCGCCGCAGGGCUUCCACCUGGCCGGGCACCUGCUGUUCCUGGCGGUGCUGGGGGCAC